AGUGAACGCUGGCGGUAGGCCUAACACAUGCAAGUCGAACGGCAGCACAGUAAGAGCUUGCUCUUACGGGUGGCGAGUGGCGGACGGGUGAGGAAUACAUCGGAAUCUACUUUUUCGUGGGGGAUAACGUAGGGAAACUUACGCUAAUACCGCAUACGACCUACGGGUGAAAGCAGGGAUCUUCGGACCUUGCGCGAUUGAAUGAGCCGAUGUCGGAUUAGCUAGUUGGCGGGGUAAAGGCCCACCAAGGCGACGAUCCGUAGCUGGUCUGAGAGGAUGAUCAGCCCAACGGGAACGAGACACGGGUCCAACCCCCUAGGGGGGGCAGCAGGGGGGAAAAUUGGACAAGGGGCGCAACCCUGUCCCAGCCAACCCGCGGGGGUGAAGAAGGCCUUCGGGUUGUAAAGCCCUUUUUUUGGGAAAAAAAAGCAGCAGGUUAAUCCCCCGCUGUUCGAGAGGUACCAAAAAAAAAAGCACCGGCAACCUUCGU
rnacentral:rRNA from 1 species